CACCCAGUGACAGAGAGGGGUCCGCUGCCUGAUAGGAGAGGAAGCUGGUAUGUGGUUCAAAGACAUGUGGAAGCUGGAAGCUAGAGCUCAAGCAAGGACAGACAGAAGACAAACAAGCAGAUAAAUGAUCAUGGAGCCCAUGAGAACUGGUGAGAUCACCGAUCAAGAGCCCAGGACAGAGUCUCAGGAGAAUGGCUUGGAUAAAAGAACCAGCAAAGAAGACUGAGAAGGAGCAGUUGGCUACAUGGGAGGAGAAGCAGGAAAACCUGAGGAAGCAGGAGGAAAAGAUAAGCAAGAAUGUUGACUCCAGAGAGGUGGGUCAAGAUGAUGAGAAUUAAAAGAAAGCUAAAUGAAAAACAAGGCAAGAAUCGGUCAUCUUUGGUAAAGAAAAAUAAGCCAUCAUUGUCUGUCAGCGAGAGACUCAACUGGGACCUCUGUUUUUGUAAAUUAGUAUUAAACAUCUUAUAGUUGUGACA